CACGUAGGGCGCAAGCGUUGUCCGGAAUUAUUGGGCGUAAAGAGCUCGUAGGCGGUCUGUUGCGUCCGCUGUGAAAACUCGGGGCUUAACCCCGAGCCUGCAGUGGAUACGGGCAGACUAGAGGUAGGUAGGGGAGAAUGGAAUUCCCGGUGUAGCGGUGAAAUGCGCAGAUAUCGGGAGGAACACCGGUGGCGAAGGCGGGUUGCUGGGCUGACACUGACGCUGAUGCGCGAAAGCGUGGGUAGCAAACAGG
rnacentral:rRNA from 1 species